AGCAGCCGCGGUAAUUCCAGCUCCAAUAGCGUAUAUUAAAGUUGUUGCAGUUAAAAAGCUCGUAGUUGAAUUUCGGGGUUAGUAGGUUGGUCAUGCCAUCGGUAUGUACUGGUCUCACUGAUUCCUCCUUCCUGAUGAACCGUAAUGCCAUUAAUUUGGUGUUGCGGGGAGACUGGACUGUUACUUUGAAAAAUUAGAGUGUUUAAAGCAGGCUAACGCUUGAAUACAUUAGCAUGGAAUAAUGAAAUAGGACGUUCGAUCCUAUUUUGUUGGUUUCUAGGAUUGACGUAAUGAUUAAUAGGGAUAGUUGGGGGCAUUAGUAUUCAAUUGUCAGAGGUGAAAUUCUUGGAUUUAUUGAAGACUAACUACUGCGAAAGCAUUUGCCAAGGAUGUUUUCAUUAAUCAAGAAAGAAAGUUAGGGGAUCGAAGACGAUCAGAUACCGUCGUAGUCUUAACCAUAAACUAUGCCGACUAGGGAUCGGAUGAUGUUAAUUUUUAAUGUACUCAUUCGGCGCCUUAC
rnacentral:rRNA from 1 species